UACGGAGGAUGCGAGCGUUAUCCGGAUUUAUUGGGUUUAAAGGGUGCGUAGGCGGAUUGAUAAGUCAGCGGUGAAAACCUUCAGCUUAACUGGAGAAUUGCCGUUGAUACUGUUAGUCUUGAGUACGGUCAAGGUAGGCGGAAUGUGUAAUGUAGCGGUGAAAUGCUUAGAUAUUACACAGAACACCGAUUGCGAAGGCAGCUUACUGGACCAAUACUGACGCUGAGGCACGAAAGCGUGGGGAGCGAACAGGAUUAGAUACCCUGGUAGUCCACGCCGUAAACGAUGAUCACUCGCUGUUAGCGAUACACAGUUAGCGGCUAAGCAAAAGCAUUAAGUGAUCCACCUGGGGAGUACGGCCGCAAGGCUGAAACUCAAAGGAAUUGACGGGGGCCCGCACAAGCGGAGGAACAUGUGGUUUAAUUCGAUGAUACGCGAGGAACCUUACCUGGGCUCAAAUGUAGAGUGCAUGAGGUAGAAAUACUUCUUUCCUUCGGGACUCUUUACAAGGUGCUGCAUGGUUGUCGUCAGCUCGUGCCGUGAGGUGUCGGGUUAAGUCCCAUAACGAGCGCAACCCUUAUCGUUAGUUGCCAGCGGGUAAUGCCGGGAACUCUAACGAAACUGCCGGUGUAAACCGUGAGGAAGGUGGGGAUGACGUCAAAUCAGCACGGCCCUUAUGUCCAGGGCCACACACGUGUUACAAUGGCCGGUACGGAGGGCAGCUACUUGGAGACAAGAUGCGAAUCUCAAAAGCCGGUCUCAGUUCGGAUCGGAGUCUGCAACUCGACUCCGUGAAGCUGGAUUCGCUAGUAAUCGCGCAUCAGCCAUGGCGCGGUGAAUACGUUCCCGGGCCUUGUACACACUGCCCGUCAAGCCAUGGAAGUUGGGGGUACCUGAAGUCCGUAACCGUAAGGAGCGGCCUAGGGUAAAACUAGUGACUGGGGCU
rnacentral:rRNA from 1 species